CACUAGUGAUUGGUGUUCUUCCCGAUAUCUACACAUUCCACCGUUACACCGGGAAUUCCAGUCUCCCCUACCGCACUCAAGCCCGCCCGUACCCGGCGCGGAUCCACCGUUAAGCGAUGGACUUUCACACCGGACGCGACGAACCGCCUACGAGCCCUUUACGCCCAAUAAUUCCGGAUAACGCUUGCACCCUACGUAUUACCGCGGCUGCUGGCACGUAGUUAGCCGGUGCUUAUUCGAAAGGUACACUCACCCGAAGGCUUGCUCCCGAUCAAAAGCGGUUUACAACCCGAAGGCCGUCAUCCCGCACGCGGCGUCGCUGCAUCAGGCUUGCGCCCAUUGUGCAAUAUUCCCCACUGCUGCCUCCCGUAGGAGUCUGGGCCGUAUCUCAGUCCCAAUGUGGCCGGUCGCCCUCUCAGGCCGGCUACCCGUCGUAGGCUCGGUGGGCCGUUACCCCGCCGACUACCUGAUAGGACGCGACCCCAUCCCAUACCGAUGAAAUCUUUCCCGGAAGGACAUGCAUCCAACCGGAGCAUCCGGCAUUACCACCCGUUUCAGGAGAAUCGAAUUC
rnacentral:rRNA from 1 species